rnacentral:rRNA from 1 species
GUUGAUUCUGCCUGACGUAUGCGCUUGUCUUGAAGAUUUAGCCAUGCAAGCUUGUGACCGUAAGUGAACAGUAGACAGCUCAGUAAUACAGUUAUUAUUUACUCGUAAAAUAUGGAUAACCAUGGAAAACUAUGGCUAAUACAUAAAAUGUUCUACGGAACUUGUUACGACUAAGUUUCUGACCUAUUAGCUAGAUGGUAGGGUAAAGGCCUACCAUGGCGAUGAUGGGUAACGGGGAAUUAACGUUCGAUACCGGAGAGGGAGCCUGAGAAAUAGCUCCCACGUCUAAGGAUGGCAGCAGGCGCGAAACUUACCCAAUUCCUUAUGGAGAGGUAGUGAAGAGACAUUUUUUUCACUUGAAAGGAAAUUUAAACCAUUGCCUUGUAAACUGGAGGGCAAGUCUGGUGCCAGCAGCCGCGGUAAUUCCAGCUCCAGUAGCGCAUAUAAGAAUUGUUGCUGUUAAAAGGUCCGUCGUAUUUUAUGAUGUUACUAUGAGGAAAAUGUAUAUCUCAAAUGAAAUAUAUAGCAUAGGACAAAGUAAAGAUAGGAACAGAUGAUGGCAACAGUAUUUAAUAGUUAGAGGUGAAAAUUGAAGACCUAUUAAGGACUAUCAGAAGCGAAAGCGGUUGUCAAGUAUGUAUCCGUUUAUCAAGGACUCAAGCUAGAGUAUCGAAGAUGAUUAGAUACCGUCGUAGUUCUAGCUGUAAACGAUGCCAACUAGGUGAGGCUGUAAGCUACGCCUUAGGAGAAAUCAAAGUUUAUGGGCUCAGGGGAUAGUAAGCAUCGCAAGAGUGAAACUUAAAGAAAUUGACGGAAGGAUACCACAAGGAGUGGAUUGUGCGGCUUAAUUUGACUCAACGCGGGACAACUUACCAGGGCCGAAUGUUUAAGAGAUUGGCGAUCUGAGAGGAUUCCCGAGAUUAGACAAAGGGUGGUGCAUGGCCGUUUUCAACACGUGGGGUGACCUGUCUGGUUAAUUCCGAUAACGCGUGAGGCCCUAACGGUAAUUUGAUUACUGGACGGACAGUGGUAAGCUGUAGGAAGGAGGGCGAUAACAGGUCAGUGAUGCCCCCAGAUGCUCUGGGCUGCACGCGCAAUACAAUAUAUAAGAUAGAAUAUAUGCAGAAAUGUAUGAUUUAAACUUGUGUAUACCUGGGAUAAGCGCUUGUAAAUGCGUUUUGAACUUGGAAUUCCUAGUAAUCGCAGGUCAUUAUGCUGCGAUGAAUGUGUCCCUGUUCUUUGUACACACCGCCCGUCACUAUCUUAGAUGAAUGUAUAGGUGAAAUGGCUGGACGUAAGAAAGGCAGUUGAACCUGUGCAAUUAGAUAAGAUAUAAGUCGUAACAAGGCUGCUAUAGGAGAACCUGUGGCAGGAUCAAU